AACGUAGGUACCGAGCGUUAUCCGGAUUUACUGGGCGUAAAGCGCGUUCAGGCGGUUUGGCAAGUCGGGCAUGAAAUCUCUCGGCUCAACCGGGAGAGGUUGUCCGAUACUUCCAGACUUGAGGGCAGUAGAGGGUGGUGGAAUUCCGGGUGUAGUGGUGAAAUGCGUAGAUAUCCGGAGGAACACCAGUGGCGAAGGCGGCCGCCUGGGCCAGUCCUGACGCUGAGCCGCGAAAGCGUGGGGAGCGAUCCGG
rnacentral:rRNA from 1 species